rnacentral:rRNA from 1 species
UACGUAGGGGGCAAGCGUUGUCCGGAUUUAUUGGGCGUAAAGAGCGUGUAGGCGGCUUUACAGGUCCGUUGUGAAAACUCGAGGCUCAACCUCGAGACGCCGGUGGAAACCGUAAAGCUAGAGUCCGGAAGAGGAGAGUGGAAUUCCUGGUGUAGCGGUGAAAUGCGCAGAUAUCGUAAGGAAGACCAGUGGCGAAGGCGGGUCUCUGGACAGUUCCUGACGCUGAGGCACGAAGGUCAGGGGAGCAAACGGG